UACACGAGCGGCGAACGGGUGAGUAACACGUGGGUGAUCUGCCUCGCACUUCGGGAUAAGCCUGGGAAACUGGGUCUAAUACCGGAUAUGACCUUUCAGUGCAUGCUGUUGGGUGGAAAGAUUUAUCGGUGCGAGAUGGGCCCGCGGCCUAUCAGCUUGUUGGCGGGGUAACGGCCCACCAAGGCGACGACGGGUAGCCGACCUGAGAGGGUGACCGGCCACACUGGGACUGAGACACGGCCCAGACUCCUACGGGAGGCAGCAGUGGGGAAUAUUGCACAAUGGGCGAAAGCCUGAUGCAGCGACGCCGCGUGAGGGAUGACGGCCUUCGGGUUGUAAACCUCUUUCGACAGGGACGAAGCGCAAGUGACGGUACCUGUAGAAGAAGCACCGGCCAACUACGUGCCAGCAGCCGCGGUAAUACGUAGGGUGCGAGCGUUGUCCGGAAUUACUGGGCGUAAAGAGCUUGUAGGCGGUUUGUCGCGUCGUCCGUGAAAACUUGGGGCUCAACCCCAAGCUUGCGGGCGAUACGGGCAGACUUGAGUACUUCAGGGGAGACUGGAAUUCCUGGUGUAGCGGUGAAAUGCGCAGAUAUCAGGAGGAACACCGGUGGCGAAGGCGGGUCUCUGGGAAGUAACUGACGCUGAGAAGCGAAAGCGUGGGUAGCGAACAGGAUUAGAUACCCUGGUAGUCCACGCCGUAAACGGUGGGUACUAGGUGU
rnacentral:rRNA from 1 species